rnacentral:rRNA from 1 species
UACGAAGGGGGCUAGCGUUGCUCGGAAUCACUGGGCGUAAAGCGCACGUAGGCGGACUCUUAAGUCAGGGGUGAAAUCCUGGAGCUCAACUCCAGAACUGCCUUUGAUACUGGGAGUCUUGAGUUCGGGAGAGGUGAGUGGAACUGCGAGUGUAGAGGUGAAAUUCGUAGAUAUUCGCAAGAACACCAGUGGCGAAGGCGGCUCACUGGCCCGAUACUGACGCUGAGGAGCGAAAGCGUGGGGAGCGAACAGG